AUUGAACGCUGGCGGCAUGCCUUACACAUGCAAGUCGAACGGUAACAGGUCUUCGGAUGCUGACGAGUGGCGAACGGGUGAGUAAUACAUCGGAACGUGCCUAGUAGUGGGGGAUAACUACUCGAAAGAGUGGCUAAUACCGCAUGAGAUCUACGGAUGAAAGCAGGGGAUCGCAAGACCUUGUGCUACUAGAGCGGCCGAUGGCAGAUUAGGUAGUUGGUGGGAUAAAAGCUUACCAAGCCGCCGAUCUGUAGCUGGUCUGAGAGGACGAUCAGCCACACUGGGACUGAGACACGGCCCAGACUCCUACGGGAGGCAGCAGUGGGGAAUUUUGGACAAUGGGCGCAAGCCUGAUCCAGCAAUGCCGCGUGCAGGAUGAAGGCCUUCGGGUUGUAAACUGCUUUUGUACGGAACGAAAAGCCCUGGGUUAAUACCCUGGGGUCAUGACGGUACCGUAAGAAUAAGCACCGGCUAACUGCGUGCCAGCCGCCGCAGUAA
rnacentral:rRNA from 1 species